AUUGAACGCUGGCGGCAGGCCUAACACAUGCAAGUAGGGCGAGUGGAGGACGGGUGAGUAAUGUAUGGGAAUCUGCCUGAUAGCGGGGGAUAACUACUGGAAACGGUAGCUAAUACCGCAUACCAUACGAUUAGCACAUAUGGUCUUAGCGAGUAGGGAAGGUAACGGCUUAACAAGGCGACGAUCCCUAGAUGGUCUGAGAGGCUGAUCAGCCAUCCUGGGACUGAUACACGGCCCAGACCCCUACGGGAGGCAGCAGUGGGGAAUAUUGCACAAUUGGCGCAAGCCUGAUGCAGCCAUGCCGCGUGUAUGAAGAAGGCCUUCGGGUUGUAAAGUACUUACAGUCGGGAGGCGUUGCCGGCAGAAGAAGCACCGGCUAACUCCGGGCCAGGAGCCGCGGUAAUAC
rnacentral:rRNA from 1 species